AUUUUUCAGAAAGCGGUAUCAAUUUCCCGUUCGUAUAAAUACAAAAUGACUGAAGAACGGCAAACUUCGCAGGGUUAUAUUAUCAGCAUUUUACCACAUUUUGCAACGAAACUUCGGAAUAUUACUAAUUUUGUGAUGCUCUUUCAAGCUGUGAUAAAAGUUUUGUCUACACUUGUCUAGGUCAAAAUUUUAUUCAUUAGGUAAUAGGUCCAUUAAUGAUCGGCCCUUAGCAUAAAAACACAAAAUAAAUGCACGUGACGCCUAGAAAUACUGUGUCUAUUUUAUACUAAUAUGAUCUAUAUUCUCCAAGGAACGACUUUCCGGAAAAGCAGACCGGUUCAAAUAUUAAAGCGGCCUGUUUUGACAUUACCUAAAUUCCAUUUGCGUUUAUAAUAAUAACACCAGUAUGUAAUAAUUAUAUACCAUGCAGAGUACAUAUAAUCACGACGGUAGCGCGAAGUUGAGUAUUGUCCUCCCCGACCCGUUGGAGGACAGCCACCGUAAAUAUGCAUGAUACUGCACUUGAAAGCUAAUAAAAUACCAUAUGCUUUGCCGCAAAAUAUUAAACUGUAAACUGAAAACCAAGCAAAUAAUAUAUCAAUUAAAUGAAUAUAUAUACUCUUGACGGUCGAUCUAUAAACCUAUAGCUAAAUUUAAACUCGAAUUAAUUUACAACUUACGUGCUCAAAAGCAGGACAACCACAAACACAAGUAUGCGAAUCUGGCUUUAUAGUAAUAUAUUUAACACACUUUGUGCCGUGUUUACGGCAUUUGCUGCGCAAAUUCCCGGCCAAGUCCAUCCAAAAUACCGU